AUUAGAUGCGCGUGCGUGUUCGAUUUCCCUUGAAAAUAUGAUGACAAAAUCUAGAUUGUUAGGUUUAUGUGAAGUGUUCUUCGAAGAAGGUUGCUUUUAGCGCUCAACAUGACUUUGUGGGAACAACUGCAGUCGCUACAAGGCGAAGACCAAGCCAAGAUCGGCGAGCUUCUAGGCAAAUAUUCAUUAGAGCUCGAAGUUCAAUCCCAUCUGGCCGCUUGGCUCGAACACCAGCCUUGGUAAGUGAUUUUACACAAUUGUCAAUUCCCUUGGGGACUACGUGAUGC